UACGUAGGGUGCGAGCGUUGUCCGGAAUUAUUGGGCGUAAAGAGCUCGUAGGCGGUGUGUCACGUCGGCCGUGAAAACCUGCAGCUUAACUGUGGGCGUGCGGUCGAUACGGGCAUCACUGGAGUUCGGCAGGGGAGACUGGAAUUCCUGGUGUAGCGGUGAAAUGCGCAGAUAUCAGGAGGAACACCGGUGGCGAAGGCGGGUCUCUGGGCCGAUAACUGACGCUGGAGGAAGCGAAAGCGUGGGGAGCAAACAGG
rnacentral:rRNA from 1 species